GUCCAGCGAUCGGUUUUGAUGUCUCUGAUAACGCUUUCUCACUCUUUUGCUCCUUGCCUUAAACUGCCACAACUGAGUUUCACUAAGAGCCUAUCAUUUACUGAGACCCUGAAACCCAACACCUCCGCUUGGCACACUGGGAUGCGCAAGGACAAUGCCGCAGGCCCUUGGCAGGGGGAGUACCUGCUCAGGUAACCAGACACUUGGACACCCCCACGAACCCAUCGCUCGCAAAGCCCCAAGCCUCACAUUCAUCCUCAGAGAGAGCAUGUUAAGAGGAAGGACUAGUACAGAGUAGACUAUGCAAGUUUUUAGUUGAUAUUUUGACAGGGAUGUGUUUGGAAGUUUCCCAAAUGCAUUAAUGGAGAAGGUUAUUGGAGCUAGACUGGCUUAUGUUGCUCUGAAAAACAUGUUGAGCCUAUGAGUACAACUUGAUCGCUUGCAGGAAGGUCUCUGGAGGUCAAUAUUUCUUGGAUGUUUUCACGUGAAAACAUGGAAAAGCAUCAAACUGUGAUGGUAUCCUGAAACGGUUUAGUGUAUUGGGAUCUCAUCCACAAACUGGAGCUUCAACAUCUCAUUGAUAACUGAAAGCUUGUAUCAUCUAGCGUGAUGCAUGGGCUCCCGUGCUCAGCGCUGCAGUACUGUUUCGGUGGUCCUCCAGAUGUUUCUGCUGACUCUGCUCCAUACCUGGACCCAGAAAUCUCCAAAACUGGACCAGAUCGGGUCAUGGGCCUGACUGUUCUCACUCAGCCUGGUCCAAUAAACCCAGUGAGGACUGAUAGCCAGCCUUCAUUUAGCUGCGUUUCCAUCCAGACGAAGACUAACGGGACUAACUUCAUAACCAAAGAACUGGGUUCAGAGAACCAGGACACACUUCAUUCAUACCCAAGCUCAGAAGGGCUCUCAGAGGAAGACGAUGCCCAGGAUAAGAGCCCUGUUGUGGACACAAAACGGCCACAUAUUCCUCGUCCAUCUAUCAUCAGGCCGCAGAAGGAACACCCAAUCCAGGACAGCCUGCCAGUCAGAACAGAUCAUACUGAGCCAGAGGAUGGACCGUUAUCAGAAUAUCUGUGAGGAAGUGGACAGUAGAGUGCAACAAAGUAGACCGG
rnacentral:lncRNA from 1 species